AAUCUGCCUCUAGGUCGGGGACAACAAUUGGAAACGAUUGCUAAUACCCGAUGUGCAGCAAUGUGAAAGAUUUAUUGCCUGAAGAUGAGCUCGCGUCUGAUUAGCUAGUAGGUGAGGUAAAGGCUCACCUAGGCGACGAUCAGUAACUGGUCUGAGAGGAUGACCAGUCACACUGGGACUGAGACACGGCCCAGACUCCUACGGGAGGCAGCAGUGGGGAAUUUUCCGCAAUGGGCGCAAGCCUGACGGAGCAAUACCGCGUGAGG
rnacentral:rRNA from 1 species